rnacentral:rRNA from 1 species
CGGGUGCACUGAUCCGGCCGGGCCUUUCCCUCUGUGGAACCCCAUGGCCUUCACUGGCUGUGCGGGGGAAACAGGACUUUUACUGUGAAAAAAUUAGAGUGCUCCAGGCAGGCCUAUGCUCGAAUACAUUAGCAUGGAAUAAUAGAAUAGGACGCGUGGUUCUAUUUUGUUGGUUUCUAGGACCGCCGUAAUGAUUAAUAGGGACAGUCGGGGGCAUCAGUAUUCAAUUGUCAGAGGUGAAAUUCUUGGAUCUAUUGAAGACUAACUACUGCGAAAGCAUUUGCCAAGGAUGUUUUCAUUGAUAAGGAACGAAAGUUAGGGGAUCGAAGACGAUCAGAUACCGUCGUAGUCUUAACUAUAAACUAUGCCGACUAGGGAUCGGACGAUGUUAUUUCUUGACGCGUUCGGCACCUUUCGAGAAAUCAAAGUGCUUGGGCUCCAGGGGGAGUAUGGUCGCAAGGCUGAAACUUAAAGGAAUUGACGGAAGGGCACCACCAGGAGUGGAGCCUGCGGCUUAAUUUGACUCAACACGGGGAAACUCACCAGGUCCAGAUGAAAUAAGGAUUGACAGAUUGAGAGCUCUUUCUUGAUUCUAUGGGUGGUGGUGCAUGGCCGUUCUUAGUUGGUGGAGUGAUUUGUCUGGUUGAUUCCGUUAACGAACGAGACCUCGGCCUGCUAAAUAGCCACGCUUACUCUUCCAUCCAAAGCCAGGGUGGUGUGUUGGGAUGGGGUU